rnacentral:tRNA from 3 species
AUUUAUAUAGUUUAAAUAAAACAUUACACUUUCACUGUAAAAAUAAAGAAAACUUUUAUAAAUA